UACGAAGGGGGCUAGCGUUGUUCGGAUUUACUGGGCUUAAAGCGCACGUAGGCGGAUCGUUAAGUCGGGGGUGAAAUCCUGGAGCUCAACUCCAGAACUGCCUUCGAUACUGGCGAUCUCGAGUCCGGAAGAGGUGAGUGGAACUCCUAGUGUAGAGGUGGAAUUCGUAGAUAUUAGGAAGAACACCAGUGGCGAAGGCGGCUCACUGGUCCGGUACUGACGCUGAGGUGCGAAAGCGUGGGGAGCAAACAGG
rnacentral:rRNA from 1 species